GGGGGCGACCUGGUUUCGACAGGGGUUGCAAAGCAGCGCAGGGCAUACCGAGGACUGGUUACCUCGUAAAUACAUCCAGAAAAAAUGUAACUGCAAACGAUAACUCGUACGCACUAGCCGCUUAAUAACCGGCUUGCUCUACACCACUUCUUCCUUGGGGUGGGCUGGCAACAGCAGUAGAGUCAUUUACAAGGAAUCGCAAUCGGCCGUGUCGCUUGGUCGGUUGUUAAACAAUAGGCGGCUCGUCUUUACGCAGCGUGUGCGUCCGCGUCGUACGGAUUAAAUCAAAUGGCAGCACUAAGUAUGUAGAACUGUCUGUAGAGUACUUCUGGACGCGGGUUCGAUUCCCGCCGCCUCCACCA
rnacentral:tmRNA from 1 species